UGAGAGCUAAGCAUAAUGUUUCUCCUCUCUCCACCUCAGCAUGACUCAUUGCCAUCGGCCUGUUCCCUCUGCAACCCCUGGCUCUGAGAACAGACACAGAAGGGCUAAGGCUGACCGUAUGGGCCUCAAAUUCUGUCCCUCUUACCUCAGUGGGUGUGUUUAUUCCUGGUAUUCCAACAAACACGGGCUGCAUUUUCACUCCAUGUACCACCGUGAAAGAAGAAAAAAGCGGUGCCAGUGGCUUGCUGCUGAAGCUCGGGUGCAUCCGAUUCUAGAGACGAUGGGAACACUUCACAUGCGUAUCUUAGAACCCAAGGCGACUGGGAAGAGAGGCUUAAUUAACGGAAUGACAGGGUUUCUCUGUGUAGCCUUGGCUGUCCUGGACUCGCCUUGUAGACCUGGCUGGCCUUGAACUCACAGAGAUCUGCCUGCCUCUGCUGAGUGCUGGGACUAAAGGCAUGUGCCACCACCCCCUGGCUGAGUUCACAUUCUAUGAAGCCCAUUUAUCACCCCCACGUGGACAUUCCUGUGCCAGAGUGGAGUGAGGUACCGGCGCCCACGGUUGGCUUUUGAUUUGACUGAGAUCUCCAGAGCCAGUGGGUGACAUGGUCAUUUGGUGGCCAUCAGCUUUCCUCCCUCGGUCACAGAAAGUUAGGCCACAGGUCCACCAGUGUCCAGCUCUUCACCUGGGUGUGUCUUGUAUGUCGCCAAGACAUCUUCACUGCCCGAGGAGACAACUGGUUGUCUGUGAAAGCCACUAACCGUUAGCUUUCAAAACAACGUUAAACGAUGUCAUGUUCAGAAGACGCCAACCGGCCCAACUGUACCGAUGGAAGCUAAUUAAAAAUUCUUCUAAAAAGAAAGAUUUCUUUUUACAGUGGCUUGUGUCCUGGAAGACAGAUACAGGGGCCAGCUUUGACCUCAGAGAGUAUCUCUGGGCAGGUGUGAAAGGUUAUCAGAUUAGCAUCAGUAUUCGAUGUAUGUAUAUGUGUACG